GAGAGGAGACAUGUUUACAUGUUCUCACCUCCCCCACUGUUUUUCAGGUAUUGCUGGCGAUGAGGAUUGAGACGAGAUGUGAGACGCGUUCGUAGCAGUCGAUAGAGUUUCCGGCCCGAUGACUUUCGAGCCUUUCAGUGUGGGAGAGGCUAGGGAUCGUGGCAAGGGGUUGGCAACGGAGAUAUUAUAGUUGGACCCGACGUCAUUUUUUCUUUUGUACUUAUGAAAAAGAUGUAUUAUGUAUUUGAUUUAGAGAUAUUGUUAGACUUUUGGGAUUAGUUGUAUACAUUUUGUAUAUUUUGUGGAUCUCUUUGUGAUAGAACAUUAGUGAUUUUA